rnacentral:rRNA from 1 species
AGGGUUUGAUCAUGGCUCAGGAUGAACGCUGGCGGCGUGCUUAACACAUGCAAGUCGAACGAACCUUCGGGUUAGUGGCGGACGGGUGAGUAACGCGUGAGAAUCUGCCCUCAGGAGGGGGAUAACGGUUGGAAACGACCGCUAAUACCCCAUAUGCCUACUGGUGAAAUGAAUUUCGCCUGAGGAUGAGCUCGCGUCUGAUUAGCUAGUUGGUGAGGUAAUGGCUCACCAAGGCUUCGAUCAGUAGCUGGUCUGAGAGGAUGAUCAGCCACACUGGGACUGAGACACGGCCCAGACUCCUACGGGAGGCAGCAGUGGGGAAUUUUCCGCAAUGGGCGAAAGCCUGACGGAGCAACGCCGCGUGAGGGACGAAGGCCUCUGGGCUGUAAACCUCUUUUCUCAAGGAAGAAGAUAUGACGGUACUUGAGGAAUAAGCCACGGCUAAUUCCGUGCCAGCAGCCGCGGUAAUACGGGAGUGGCAAGCGUUAUCCGGAAUUAUUGGGCGUAAAGCGUCGCAGGCGGCUUUUCAAGUCUGCUGUUAAAGCGUGAGCUUAACUCCAUCAUGGCAGUGAAACUGAAAGGCUUGAGUAUGGUAGGGGCAGAGGGAAUUCCCGGUGUAGCGGUGAAAUGCGUAGAUAUCGGGAAGAACACCAGUGGCGAAGGCGCUCUGCUGGGCCAUUACUGACGCUCAUGGACGAAAGCCAGGGGAGCGAAAGGGAUUAGAUACCCCUGUAGUCCUGGCCGUAAACGAUGAACACUAGGUGUCGGGGGAAUCGACCCCCUCGGUGUCGUAGCUAACGCGUUAAGUGUUCCGCCUGGGGAGUACGCACGCAAGUGUGAAACUCAAAGGAAUUGACGGGGGCCCGCACAAGCGGUGGAGUAUGUGGUUUAAUUCGAUGCAACGCGAAGAACCUUACCAGGGUUUGACAUCCUGCGAACCUCUUAGAAAUUUGAGGGUGCCUUCGGGAAUGCAGUGACAGGUGGUGCAUGGCUGUCGUCAGCUCGUGUCGUGAGAUGUUGGGUUAAGUCCCGCAACGAGCGCAACCCACGUUUUUAGUUGCCAGCAUUUAGUUGGGCACUCUAGAAAGACCGCCGGUGAUAAACCGGAGGAAGGUGUGGAUGACGUCAAGUCAUCAUGCCCCUUACACCCUGGGCUACACACGUACUACAAUGCUACGGACAAAGGGCAGCAAACUCGCGAGAGCUAGCAAAUCCCAUAAACCGUGGCUCAGUUCAGAUCGUAGGCUGCAACUCGCCUACGUGAAGUAGGAAUCGCUAGUAAUCGCAGGUCAGCAUACUGCGGUGAAUACGUUCCCGGGCCUUGUACACACCGCCCGUCACACCAUGGAAGUUGGCCAUGCCCGAAGUCGUUACUCCAACCCUUGUGGAGGAGGACGCCGAAGGUGGGGCUAAUGACUGGGGUGAAGUCAUAACAAGGUAACCGUA